UAGAAUGCAUGCAAUGUCCCCAAUUACAGUCCCAGCAGGAGACCUUCAAAAGCAGAUAACACAGCUUUGGGGUUUGCAUUGGAACAGCAUUUCUGGCCUACAGUGAUACAAGUUUGUAAAAUGGUGGUCAUAUGCUGUGUCUAACUCCAGUUCAGGACUAAUGCUGCACUACUACAAUACUCUACUGUUGCAAGGUUUAUUAUGGCUCAGUGGUGUGAAGUAAUUGGUAGUAUUUUGAUAUUUAGAAGAUGGAGAUUAAGUUGUAUGUAGGUGGUGUCUAGUUGAACUGACAGGUAACUACUAAACUGGAGCUUUGUGUUACCAGCACAGGUAUGUGGGCUUGAAUUUGAUGGGAUGGGCUAGCUCUACAGUACUAAUGUUGGCCACAAGGCAAACCAGUCUGACCUUGUAAUCCUAAAUUGGGCAAUGUUCAAUAAAUCAUAGAGUCUCAGCGCCUGCAGAAACUCUAUAUAAAUAGGAAGUGUUAUCAUCAAAUCUGAAAUACAGGGUCCCAAGUUUUAAUAAGGUCGGACCGAAGCGCUCUUUCAUAGACUCGUCUAUUUUAAAGUUAAAUAUAUAGCUAAAUCCUAGAUUAAAAGUAUGUUAAAGGGCUCAGAAUAUGUGCUCUGGUGUUCAAAAUGUUUUGUCAUGUUUUCAUUCAUGUAUCUUGCAGAGACAAAAGUUAGAUUUCACACUCACCGUACAGUCUUAUCUAAUGUAAUCUUGUCUGAUCUCAUUCAACUCAUACUGUCUAUUUUCCAAGAGUUGUCUUAACUGCAGACAAGUUGGAAUAAGAGUUUGACAAGAAGUAUGUCACAAUUAUCAUUAGUGUCCUUCCCCAAUGACCAUCUAAAAGUGAAACUUAACCAUUUGGAAAAAUAUGCCAUGUACAAGCAGCGCCACUCUCUGAGUUGUGUUGAUUUUAGCGCCCCCUAGGAUGUACUUAAAAUCUGAUUUUGUCCCUAACUUCUGUGAGUAAUCUUCCAACAAAAGAUGAUCCUGCUGUCUUUUGACAUAACCUGAAUCAGAAAAUGAAAACAAAAGGGUGGAAACACUAAAACAUGGCUAUCUUGUCUUUUUAUGCUGAUGAUAUGAAACUUUAGAUCUGAAACAAGGUACAAAGUUAACAGUCCCACACAAAUAAUGGUAACCGUUAAGAAAUGUAACCUUGUGGAGCUGAAAGACCUUACUGAGUUCAAAAAGCCAUUUAAGAUUGAGAUAUAUCCUGGUAUAUUGCAGUUCUAUUAAAUAUGUAAUUGGGUCAAAGCCUCCAAAGAUUUCCAGCAAAUGACGACACCUUUAAUCCUUGUAAUCCUGUCGAAAUCUUUAUCAUUUGAUGUUUUCAUUUUUAGGUUCUGAUAGGAUUUCUGCUGAUGCUGACACAAGUCCCUGAAAUUAAAAUGUGUUAAGAUUUUCCAUCAAAAAUUAUGUCGAUGAACAGAGUUAAAGGCUGGAAGCAAGGUGACAGGAAAGUCUUUGGUUGUUACGCAAGACAAAAUUAAGUCUCACUUGUCCUACUCGAACAGUUUCUGGGAAAGUUGGCGAAACGACACGAUACUUUCGCACCCAUCUGGACUCGAGUGGAAAGGGCAUGAGGAGUUAUCUUCUUAUUUAACGCUCUGGGUUCUAACUGAACAUUUACUUUGUGUUUGUGCGUUCAAAACAUGUCACAGUUUGACUUUUGCUGCCUACCGCGCUGACAGGCAUCAGUUUCAGCUCCCCUGUCAGACUAUGAGGCUUUUCAUGUCUUUUUUUAGGCAUUUCUCGAGGAGAGAGGGGGGGAUGCCAGCAUCUCUGUGAGUGUGUGACGUCUGACAGAAUCAGAAACGGAGCUCUAAGGGACCAUCACCGCUGAUGCAGAAAGCAAUCUGUCAGCAUGGCGUUAGGAGGGGACGUUUCCCUCAUAACCGAGACGAACACGGCGAUCGGUGUUCUUUUAUGAAGACUGAGUCACUGCGAAUCAGAGGGAGGAAGGAGAGACACGGAGAGACACGGAGAGACAGAGAGUGUUUGUUGUAUCUCCGUGAAACAGAGAUGAACACAAAAGGGAAUGGGUUACAUAUUUCACACAAAAAACAAAGCUGGAUCAAUAAUAUAAAUUUCAACAUCUUUUUCUUUUUGCUCUUACAUGUUUUGUUUUUUUCUACAUUCUCUCACUUUGUUCCCUUUCCGAGCAUUUCUGAGGUGAAAAAACCUCCAGUGCCCUGCAUCACUCUGAUAAGAGCCACUGUUGUGCACUGGAUCACCGCCAUUUAGCCCGUAAUUCUUUUCUUUUAUUCCGCUGAACAAUUCAGUUCUGUGUCACUAAAUGGUUGGUCCCCGUUUGAGAUAAGGGACAAAGACCACCUCAGGUGUCAUUUUUGAGCUCCUGGAAUUAGGCUGGUUUAGUAGGAGCUGGAUCACAGCGUAAUCACAGCUGUGGCACCCUGCCGAGCCGAGGAUAUGAGCCACUUUCUGUCGGGGCAGCUCAGGUGAAAUGAAUCUGAAUGCAAAAAGAAUGGGAACAAAAUUAGCUCAUUUGUUUUUACACAUCAGGGCAGAUUUACAUCUGAACUAGUAUUUCUUUGUCAAGGUGAUCUUCACACUUAAUCAAAUGAGUAAGAUUUGAAGUAAUGGAAGUAAGGUUAAAGGAGAACAAAAGGGGGGAAAUAUGAGGGUAACAGGAGAGUAUUAGGAAGAGUAAAGGAGGAUAAAAGGAGGGUUAAAUUAGGAUAAAAUAGGGUGAUCAUAUGUCCUCUUUUACCCGGACAUGUCCUCUUUUUGGGGGGCUGUUAGGGUUUGUCCAGAAAAGUUUUUAAAAUCCUUAAAUGUCCGCAUUUCUGUAUGUAAGUUUUGAUUUUGUGUCACGUGGACUUACUGAGUUAGAAGCGUGUAAAAGACACUCCAUCUACCCGAAAAACUCUCAAAAUUAACUUUGUGCGACUGUAUGACUCCGCCCCCUCAAAGUUGUGUCCUGUUUUUGGGAGGUCAGAAGAUGAUCCGCCCCCCAAAAAAUUAGUAUAAAAAGGGCAAGAGGAGGGUGUAAAGGAUAAAAGAAGGUAAGAGCAGGGAAAGGGGAGGGGAAUAAAAACAGGAUAAACAGGAAGGAGAAAUAGAAAGAUAAAAGUCGAGUAAAACAAGGGUAAAAGGAGGUCGAUAAGAGGAAUAUAGAUGGAGGAAAAAAGAAGUAUAAAAUGAGGGUAAAGGGGAGAAUAAAAGGGUGAUGAAAGAAGGGUUAAAGGAGGAUAAAAGGUGGGUAAGAACAGGGGGAAAAGGCAGGUUAAAUGAGGGUAAGUAGAGGAUAAAAGACAGGUAAGAGGAGGAUAAAAAAUGGAUAAUAGGAGGUUAAACAGAAAGGAGGGGAAAGAGAGAGCAAAGGGAGGAUAAAAGGAGUAAAAGGAGAAUCAAAGGAGGAUAAAAGGAAUGUAAAAGAAGCAUAGGAGGGAAAAGGGAGUAAAUGGAGGGUUAGAGAAAGGUAAAAGGAGGACAACUUAAGAGUAAAAGUAGAGUCAAAGAAGGAUAACAGAAGUGUAAAAGAAGGGGAAAAAACAGAAUAAGAUGAGGGUUAAAGGUUGAGGCAGGUAAAGGAAUACUUCCUUCUCUAGUAGCCCUGAUUGAUCCGAGAUCUUUAGCUAACUUAUUGGUAAACAUGAAGUGUGUCUCUAGCCAGGUGGAGAGCUCAAGAGGCUAUCGGCUCCUUCACUCUCUCUCACAUCAGCUUGACUGGAUAAGAGACGAUACACACAGUAAGCCCGAAAAUCCAUUUAAGGGAGUGCUGACAGUGAAGUAAUGAAGGUUCCCGUAUCAACCUCAAUGAUUUUGUCCUCACUUCAUCUGACUUUCUACCCGGUGUGUCACCCCCAAAUCCUCACCCAGGAUCACCGGUGCUGUUUACCCCCCAUAGGUGUCACAGAAAAUCAUCCCAAACCCGCUGCAAGGCCUGGGUUUGUUUACCUCAAACAGAUCCCCAGUGCCAACAUUUUUAAGUUUCCUUUCUCUCUCUUCUCACAGGAAACUUGUGAUACGUGCUCCUGUCUGUGCAGAAUUUUAAUUCAGUUGACACUCAAGGCAUCGGGCAAGACGAGGCAAUAACUCAUCCUGUCUGAAUGCUGAUGGCUGAGUUUAGCCUUGAAUAAAAACAUCAGGGAUCGAGUCUAUCCAAUGUUCAAAUUAUCUGCUGAGCUGUAACAACCUUGCGUUGCGGGUCAUAUGCAAAUUUAAUAAUACUUUUAAUGGACUUUGUGAAAGUCUGACAUCUGUCUUACUCUGUUUCUGUCCUGUUCCAGUUUCUAACCUUAUGGGAGAUACUGUACCUUGUGUUACAUACAGUCUCGAAUGAAUAAGUGACGACUGAACUAUGAACCUUAAUGGAUCAUCAUCACAAUGAACCAGCAUAUAAGAAAACAAGAAUUGAAUGCAUGUCUAUACAUAAUAUUUACAGAGCUGCCAAGCGUCACGCUUUGAGUGUGACAGUCACCCAAUUUGACCCAUUCUCACACCAAACACCACACUUGACGAUUCUCAUGCUUAUUUUUCCCCAUUCAAAACUCUGUAUUUAUUUUUUUUGAUGAUAAUAAACUUGGCUUGCUGUAGUUCAAGUAACUCUAAUUGACUGACCGUGAUAACCAAUCCCAGAUUAAUCCAUCUGUCCUUUGUGCCUAAUGCCGCGUUCGAGUUACCUCAGAAGUCAGAUGUCGCAGCUGAAAAUGACGUCACACCCGAGUUACCAGCGUUUCAGUUACCAAGUCAGAAAAAAGCAAAAUCGGAGGGCUGAAACAAGAUGGCUACGUCUACGAAAGUUACUUUAGCGCUUGCCUUACAGACAAGGAAAGUGCUAAAAUAACUUUCGCAGAUGUAGCCAGGUUGUUUCUGCCUCUGAUUUUGCUUUUUUCCGACUUGGUAACUGAAACGCUGAGUUUUUUUGGGGUCUUGGCAUCUCUAGCUAUCUUUCACACACGACAGUGUUAAUUCUGGCUUAAUUUCCUGCUUUUAAGUCAAGUCAAAGUUAAUUUAUAAAGCAACUUUUAGAAGACAGCAGUCAAACAAAUUUUACUUAAACCUUACUGGGGCCUGAGCACCAAGCAGGAGUGAGGACCUAAUUGUAAUGCCUAAGAUCAUUUCUUGUGACUAUUUUACAUUUUUGUUGCAACCCUCAUGAACUUUUCACAGCACAUCAGACCUGGCAAAAAUAAUAAUAAUAAUUGAUAUUUUGAUGGUUUUGGACAUGAGUAUGAAUAGUUAUCUCACUGGCGCCUCCUAGCAGUUUUCAUUAGGGCAUGGUGAGCCCUCCAAGUAAAGUGUUUCACUAUUAGACAGGAAGUAGUUUUUAUCUCCGCCAUGCAUGCUCCAAUUUUACCGAAACUCGCCAAGCAUAAUUAGGGUCAAGCCCUGAACAGAUUUAUGUAGUAAUAUUUCAUCCAAGCUAUAGCGCCUCCUGCUGGUAGGUGGAAAUUUCAUGCUGUUACUGUAUGAGAUUAAUCUCCUCGACCGUAGAAUAUAUCUGCGUAAUUUUUGGGUAACAUAUCCUUGAGAUGUUGAUCUUCAUGUGUGUCAAAAACCGUAAGUUUUUAUCAGAGGUAGUGGUCUUCAUGGUGCAGUGGAGUUCAAUUAUAACAUGAUGUCUUGGACAAAAAUUUCACUAUGCCUUUGCUCAGCUGAUUCACUGAAAGAUGAGUAACUUAAGCUUAGGUGGAUGCAAAUACAAGUCUUUUGUUAGGUUUUACUCUAUUUUCCAUUAAGAGGCAGCAGAAAAGCAGUCCUCAUACUGUGCUAACUUAGCCAACCUAUAGGUCAGAAAUGUGGGCCACCAUUUUUUAAACCUCACUCUCAAGGGCUUGCUUUUGUUGUUGAUUUUGGUGCCCCCUGAAGGCCAAGUGAUACCUCUCCUCCUUCAUUUCAGUUCUCCUGUGGCAUGUAAAAGUACAUUUACCAAAUUUUGUGAUUAAUAUAUAAAUAUAAAAAUAAAAAUAAAAAUAGAGAAUAUUCUUUGAUUUUAAUGCUCUUAUAGAUUACAAAGGUUUGGUCUAAAACGUAAGAAUUUCAUGUUCUUUUAGGGAAAUUUGAUGUUGACUUAAUCCAGAUUUUUUUAUAUAAAUAUUGUGUUAAGAAGUCUUUUGUAAUUUUUUGGUUGGUUUGGGUAAGUUUAUCAUAUACUUAGUAGUCCCAGGGUCCCUCUCGCUCUAACCUUGAUUCAUGGUUUAGUUCUUCUGUUACAGUUUUCUGUUUUAUCCUCCUUACUUGGCCUUUGGAAAAUCUUCAUCAGCUUUAGGCCUUUAUUCUUAAAUAUAUUACAGCCUGCAGGGGUUUGUCAAAUCUCCCCCCAACACUUCAACUUUCCCUGCACCUGCAGACAUUUCUGCCCUCAAGCCCAUGUUACCUUUUAAAAUCAACAUCUUUAUCAUCGGAGACAUUUCUCUGAUAGCGAACACUGUGAUGCAUUUUUACUUUUAAUUAUUCACACAGUUCUCUGAGAGGUCUGCGAUGAAAAAAACCUUUUGAUCUCGCCCUUCCUUGUGAUAAAUAUUCAUUGUGAUGCUAAUGUUGUCAAAGCCUCUGUUUAUAGUUGAUGGGUCUCUUGGUUAUUUUAAUUGCCUUUCAUGAAUAUUUUCCUCUGACGCAUCGAUUCAGAGGACGUAACAGUAGUUAGCAGCAGGAGGAGGACAUGAUAGGUGGAUGAUGUAUACUUCCUCUGGCAGCCUCCAGGCAGCUGCUCUAUUCAGAGUGAGUGACGGUUCAAGCUGAAGGUAAGACGGCUGCUAAAUCUUCACCACGGCUGCACAACCAGUGAUUACUCCUCCCUGCAUAAAGCAUAAAGCUUGCUGGGAGCGCUGACAAGGCUGCAGCUGGAUGGACUUAGGUGAGACUCCAGGAGAGCUGGCCCCUCUGGCAUUGUACGAAUAGCUGCUAUAGCUACCCCCCAACUCCAUCUGCCUGAACCAGCAGGCUGCAAACCUUGGGCAAAGUUUGCACCUGUCACUCAGACUAAUGGUCAAGGUGAGGAUUAGGGCUGGGUUACAUGUCUUGGAUGAGUGGGUGAAGGGGGACAAUGCAUUCCUGACAUAGCCGGGAGAUGAUCAUACUGACAUUUACAGGCAGGGAAAGACAGAGCGAGGCAACAUGGCCGUCCCCAUUAAACCACACAAACAGUUUGGGAUCUGUGAGUGUUAUGAUUGAGGGCCUCAUUUUGGUUUUAAUGAAGCGUCUCAAACGGGGGCUAAAAUGAGGGUUUUCAGAGACAACCCUAAUCUCGUUUUUGUGCAUUUUUGUGUAUCAGUGACUGGUUUAAUCUUAUCAAGAAACAGCAAGAAAAUACUUAAAGUUGGUCUUUCUCAUCAAUUUAUAAAUCAAGUAUAAUUUCAGCCUUUUUAAAAUGUAACUCAUUUACUGUUUUUGGCGCUUUUGUGGCUCCAUAGCUCAGUUUAAGAGCCUUUAAGAGUCAAAUACAGGAGGAUAUUCUUGCCAUAUUUCAGCAUGUUGAGGUCGCGGCUUUCUCUGCACGUUAUACUUCACCUCUCCUGAACUGAAAAGCCCUGUAAGCUGUUUGUCCUGAGGGGAAGAAAAGCAGUCUGCUCUCUACAGCAGGGGUCACUGUUGAACUGAAACACUCUUUACAAUCAGCCUCCAUCUCCCUCUCGUUCUCUCACUUUCCCUCUCUUCCUCCCCUUUACUGUCAGGGAAAAUUUAGCAUGACAGAGCUGGAACAAUAACUUGAUUUAAUAUCUAGGUCAUGCAAAGAUCUUCUAAUCUUAGCAAAGAGAAUAUUUAUUGACUGGGGGUGACUGACUUGCAGUGUCGGCUGCAGUUAGCAGAUAGAUUUGGGGUGAAUAAUUAAGCUGUGGGCUGAAUCUGCAUGUCAGAGGAGGUGCAGGGGUACAGUGGAGUGCCUCCUUGUCAGAAAAAAAAAAAAGCCAAAGGGAGAAAGAGAGCAGAGUGAUGAAUAAAAAUAAGGUGUUUGAUUAAUAUGGCAAGUUUGGGGAAAAAGUAGUUUGGAGUUUAUAGGUCAUGGUGGCUCAUCAUAACAGGGUGUAAAGUAGAAACUCUCUUCUGUGUUGUCGCUCAUAAAGCAGAGGACAUGUUCAGGUGUUAGGGCAUGCUUCCUGUUUUUGGCCAUUUGAGUUAGAAAAGGCCAUCAGUGCAAUUAUAUUAGAGCAGAGCCUGUCUUAAUGUGGGCAACAUGUGUAUGUUGGUAUUCGCUUUGUUUUCAGAUCCAGUAUCAAUUUUUGGUGUUGAGUUUUACCAGACAGAAAAUUUUCCACAUUAAAGCUCUGGUACAAACUUUUUUUGGAUGGUUAUGGACCAGGCUGAAAUUAAUGGUAAUAAAAUAUUUUAACGUUUACAAAAGCAAACAAGCUCAUCAGCCAUAAGACUGAUAUUUUCUAUGUUGUAAUUUUUUCAUGGCUGUGGGCAAACAAUCAAUUUCCCUGGAGAAAUAGUCUUUCUUUCUAUUGGAAAUAUUCAACACGGAAAGACUUUGUGUUAGAAAUAUUCAACAGCUAAAGAGGACAAGAUCAGCAAAGAGAUAAAAAGUCCUACUUUGUUCUGAUGUUAGCUUAUGAGCUGUCAAAUAAAUAUAUAUAUAUUUAUCUUAAUGUAUGGGCCAGUCUCUCUUCUAAUUGAUUAACUCAUCAGAGUCGCACCCCUAGCAACAGUCCAUUCCUCAAAUUGCAGACUGCUGCUUUGAAAUGUUAAGUAAUGGCCAGUCAAAAUCCAAUACUAUACUUUAUUGAUGUGGAACAAAGAGGGAUAUGGUCCAUGGAUGUCUUGUUUAAAAUGUAGAAUAAAUUGAGUCUUAACCCUCCUCCUGUGUUAGGGUCUGCAGCGACCCGUUUUUCAUUUUAAAUGCUUAAAAGAACCACUUGCCGUAGUGUAGUGUAGAUGUCUGUAUGAGGGGUAUACUGACAAAGAAAGGCCCAGAGGACCACAACAAAAAUAUUAUACGCAAUAUUUACAUGGAUAAUGAAGCCUAACAAGUUAAACUAGAGAUAUGAACAAACCUGGAUGAUAGAGAAUUGUUUUUGGUGUAAUUUACAGCUGAUUUAAGGCACGAGUCAAAACCGACCCUUAACAUGCUGGGUGCAUAGUAAAAGCUAACACAAAUAUCCAAAAGCAAAUCUAUUCAUAAGUUAAACUCCAGGAGUCCAUGGUGGAACGUUUCCCCGUCGCCAACCAGGUGGUACUGGAUUACCAACGAAAGAUCUAGAUGCAUUCAGAGCAGAUUCACAGAGACCAGGAUUUCCACCUCAUCCCCUACAGUACAAGACCAUCUGUUACAACAUGACUAAAAUCUGUUGAACAAUUGAACUCUCUCCAUGGUAACUGAGCAAACUUAUUCCUCUGACAGAAGCUAGUUCGAACUUUUUUACUUUGAUUGUUACAAACUCCUGCGGCUACCUUGAAAUGUAAUUUUUUUUCCAAUAACAUUUUUUGGCCUCUAGUCUAAAAAUAUGGUAGAUUAAGACAAACAUUUAUAAGAUCAGGAACACUGUGACUGUGACCCGGCUGGUCUCUCAUAAAUCAGAUGACCAUUUAUCCAUUUCCUUGUGACAGUGAUGUAACAGUUACUCCUCACUAAACGAGAAGAGAGGAGCUUAAGGAGCCGCUGAUCAAUGAGAGUCUUUAGACGGCGCUUUGUGAACAGAAUACCGAAAAGGCCUCUGGGAAAAAGCUCACCCGGGGUCGCCCAAUCAUUCAGCGGCAGCAGCAGCAGCAGAGCGAGGCUCGGAGUGUGUGUUAGCUAGAGGCGAAUUUGUCUCCAAACACAAACCCCCUCACUCUGGACAAACAGGGCCAAAGGGGCGCUCGGUUUCAGCGUCUGAAUAUUAAUGAGAAGGCUCUGCAAACCUCUUCAAACCUUUUCUGUUGCUAUUUUCUAAACACACAGAUCAGCUUUGCACUCUUAAUCCUCUCGCUUUCACAGAGGUGGCAGUCAGUGUCCUGGGUGCAACGAGCUGCAGGCAACACCUGACCUCUCUGUCUCAGUCUGAACUUUGGACGACCUCUGUGUCAUAGGCGGUGCAAAGGUUUAAAACCAUGGCACUCUGUGGUUGCAUGGUGGACUAUAAAAACAAUGUUAAAGGUCUCAGUCAAAGCAGACAUUAUACAAUAAUUAUAAUAGUGUUUCUCUGUUAAAGAUCACGUUUAUGUAUGUUAAAGAUACGUUAGGUUGCAAUUCUCCUGGUUAGACCAAGUAAAGAUCUUUUCAUUUACUAGGCCUCGGUAGCAUGGAGUUUUGGCUUUUUGUCGUCUCAAGCCAGGGCUUUCUGGUAACCUUUAUACCAGUACUUGUUUGACUCUCUUAUCAAUGAGCCAAGCUGGAGAAACUUCUGUAUUAUUAAGUGUUUCUACUCUAUUUAACUAUAUUCCAGUUCAUUAUUUCUCUGUGCAACAGCCUCAAACAGCUGAACAUAAUAAUUAGGGAACCUUGGACAAAGAUAACAAUCAUAGAGGUUUUGUGUUUUGUCAGGCAGUUUUAAAUAUUCUAUCUCUGCUGUAAGGAAACUUUCUUGUGGCGCACACUGAAAGACUUUUAGAACCUUAAAGGGAUAUUCCAGCGUAAAAUUAAGUUAGGGUCAAACACACCGUAACACUGAUUUAGACACCCCGUCGAGAGAUAAAUGUUGCCAACUGCUUGCUUCUCUAGUUAUACCAACUUUAGUGAUGACCGCACGAUAGCAAUACACAGAGCCAUGCACUCAACCAAAACACCACUCUAUAGCCACAAAUAAUGCUCAGAACAGCACCUAACUUCAUCAACAGUACAUACAGGGUCCUAGCCGGCAAACAUCUUUUUAUAAUUUUGUCCAAUUUCUGUAGCAAAGAGACUAAACACAACUCACCUACUCUCUUCCAGCAGUGAGACCUCGGAUGAGUCCAUUACGGACUACAACGGGGUGACGCAGCUCAAGGAAGAACAUUUAUGAUCAUUUCUUUAUCAUUUUCCUGAAGUAAUAAUCACAAUAUCAAUCAUUUUGCACUGCAGACAUGGUAGUUCUUCUGCUCUAGCAUCUCGGUCUGAGAGGGUGAGUUGUGUUUAGUCUCUUUGCUAAAGAAAUUAGGCAAAGCUAAAAAGAUGUUUGGUGGCUAGUACUAUGGCUGGGACCCUAUAUGUACUGUUGAUGUAGUUAGUUGCUGUUCUGAGUAUUAUUUGUGGUUAUAGAGUGGCGUUUUGACCCUAACUUAAUUUUACGCCAGAAUAUCCCUUUAACUGUUUUUAAAAAUGUCAGAAAUAAAGGUUGCUGACCAACAUGAAGCACCCCUAAGUGUGCAUCUAUUGGGAUAAUUAUAGUAAACUCUUAUUCUCCACUGAAAGUAGAAGUGAGAGGUUUUGUCCUGUUAUGAUUCCCCUAUCCUAACAGAAGUGGUGAUUUUAGGAAUCUUUACUUAAACUGGCUGUAAAAUGCAGUUGGAUGAUGUGGGGCAAUAUUGUUUUUAGUCCCUCUGAGAAAAAUGAUCAAUAUUUGUCAUGUCCAUCCAUGUCGGUUAGAUAUUUUGUUUUUCCCUUUUCUUGGGAUAAGGACCACAACUGUCCUUAUCCCAGGACACUGUCCAAAAGAGCAGGUCUAGACCACACUCAAAGACCCAACCUUGAGAUGGGACAGAGUUGACCCAUCCCAUCAUCAUCUGUGUUUCAGGUUCCUGUUUGCCUGCCCCCACUUGUAUGAGUGACUUUUUUCGGUAAAGACUCAGAUAUUUUUCGACAUAGUUGUUUACCUUUUGUUCCUAUGAGACAAUUUUUUCUAUAUAAAGAUCAUUUUAAUUUCCUAUGUUUGAGGUCAAAUAGUCAUUGUAGGACUUUGUAAAGACAAUGGAAAGGGCAGAGCUGUAAGUUCAAGGCUUAAAAGAUAAAACAGGUGAAAUUAAUCACAGAAAGGCCUCCAUAAUGCUGCCCAAGGUGACUGAGAAAAUUACUGGCAGCUUUGAAUUGUUUAUCUUUCCACAAAUGAUAAGCAUGGCAUGGACAUAUAAAUGAUUGCUUUAAUCUUUUACGUUUAUCGUUAUUCCUCAGAGAACUUUUUAAAAUGCCUCCAGGGCUGUCGAUUAAAUAAAUCAUGAAAAGGUUUUUCAUAAAAUAAGUGUGAGAGGAGUGUUUGAAUAUCUACUGAGCGCAGAUUAGACAGUGAAGAGUUGUAUCAGAAUGGAACUUUCCAAUUGCGGCCGUUUUUCACUUUAUUUUUCACAAUUUUUGCGCUUUCAUUUCACAAAUGUUCCCCUUUUUUUCUGUAUUUAUUCUAGGAUUUUUCAAAGCAUAAUACACCAACCUGAUGUGAUGGGAAAUGAAUGCAGUCCUGUGUAGUUGCACUUAGAAAGUCUUUUUUUUUUCUUGGCAUAGCGGGAGGCUUACAGGUAGGUAAUGGAUGGACUAAAAUACAGACGAUAGGUUUUCUUGCAAAGACCAAGUCUUGGCUUCACAGCAAAUGUAUGUGGCGAGCCUCUUAAGCACCAUGGUCGUGCUUAGUCUCAUUGUACAUGUGACACCUCACACCCUGCUGUAACUUUGUCUAAAGUGUAGCAUAGCUCUAAGGAGAACAAUUUGUAAGGUCAUAAAGUCAAGCAAAGACUGUAAAGGAAAAGAAAAGGUGAUAUCUGAUGUUAUUUUUGCGAAGUGGAGGCAAAGAAGAAGGUACUGGCAGGCUAACAAGAACAGGAGACUGUAUAGGAAAGUCCAGGUGACAUAAAACUACAAGGGCAAAACACAAAGUGAGGGAAGCAACAGAGGACAGGGCGGCUGGGUCGAACUGGCAAACAAACAAAGAAAAUAGUCCAGUGCAUAUGGAGCGAGGGUGAUGAAAAAGGUGGAGACGGGUGAAAGAGAAAGGUCAGAUUACUUCAGGACUAAUGAGAACAGAGAACAGAUGUGUAGAUGAAGAAAGGAGGACAGAACGUGACAAAUUCAGCUCUAUACUGUUUAUAAAUAUGUAAAUUUCUGCUCUGAGAGGAAUGUGUAAAUGCAUUGUGUGAAAUGUAAUUGUGAAGUCAAACCAACACGAAAGAAAACGCCUCAUAUGCAGAAACAUAUUCAAACACUUACUAUAUAGUGAUAAGACGGCUAAAUUAAAGAAGCUCUUGCUGUCAAUCAGCGCAAAGCUACAUGAAUAAAUUAAUAUUUGUUGGCUGAAUAUGCUCAAUUAUACCAGAAAUAAAUCAAGACUCAUUGAAUUACACCCCAAGACCAAUGUUUGCAAUUAUUUUAUGUAGAAAAGGUAUUUGAUCUUGUUUUCCUCAUUUUAAAGUAUUUUUCUGCUGAGCCUAAUUAUUUAAAAGUGCAAAAGCUUUUCCUUGAGAGAUGUGAAACAAAAACUGAAAAAUACGAAAUAGAUCCAUUUUGGGCAAGAACCAUAUGAUAUGGAUAUAUUUGAGGGUUAACAUGGAUUCCAGAAACUUGCUUUUGAAUUAUGCACCAAUAGCAAGCCGGGUGUCCCUUUUCCCUUUGGAGUUGAGAGAUUUGUGUCCACGAUUUCCAAGAAGAAUGUGAUACGAUCCCAGAGAAGUUGGAUCAUGUCUGUAUAUUGAUUUACUAUUCACUAUUGAGGCAGCAUUGCUUUCAAAAGAGAUGUGGCUUAAUGGAAGUAUUAGAAAUAAAUGUCUGUUUUUUAACUCCUGGCUUGUAAUCAGCUGAGACUGAAAAAAAAUGUCUAUAAGAGGGCAUCUAAAGACUUUUGAAACAUAUUUUCUUUCUCUCCUCCCUCUUCUCUUUUUGCAUCUCUGGUUGGAGGGACUAAGGCGCAAGUAAAUCAUGAAACUGAAAGGCUAUGAGACUUUGCCAGUGUCAGCGAACCCCAUCCAAACACCACUGGCACAGCUACUCGGAGCAGUUUGGAGUUAAAUGCCUUGCACAAGCAAUUUGGUAUAUGGACAGCGAGGCCUGGGAUCAAACCCCUGACCUUCUAAUUGAGAGCCAACCAACUCUACAGCUGAGUCACAACCAGCCCCUCCUAUCUGCAGGUCCCAAGAUUUUGGCUAUCCAAUAUACAUUCUGUAAUUAUGCAGAGAAAUAUGUUUCCAGGGGAAAAAGCUUCCGGGCGAUAAAACCUGCGAUAUGGCUUUUCAAGCACAUCCAAUAACAGAAACCUGCCACCUUGUUUGCUCCCCCAUCCAUCCACUCAGCCAAAGCCCAGCAUGCAGACAAAUAAAUCUGUUAAUAUCUAACUGAUUUACCAAUUCAUGAGAAGAUAAAAGUGCAAGGAACUUAACCAAUUCUAUUUGAGCAAA